rnacentral:rRNA from 1 species
AUUGAACGCUGGCGGCAUGCCUUACACAUGCAAGUCGAACGGCAGCACGGGUGCUUGCACCUGGUGGCGGGUGGCGAACGGGUGAGUAAUACAUCGGAACGUACCUUAUCAUGGGGGAUAACGCAGCGAAAGUUGCGCUAAUACCGCAUACGCCCUGAGGGGGAAAGCGGGGGACCGUAAGGCCUCGCGCGAUUAGAGCGGCCGAUGUCUGAUUAGCUUGUUGGUGAGGUAAAAGCUCACCAAGGCGAUGAUCAGUAGCUGGUCUGAGAGGACGAUCAGCCACACUGGGACUGAGACACGGCCCAGACUCCCACGGGAGGCAGCAGUGGGGAAUUUUGGACAAUGGGGGCAACCCUGAUCCAGCAAUGCCGCGUGAGUGAAGAAGGCCUUCGGGUUGUAAAGCUCUUUUGUCAGGGAAGAAACACCGGCUCUAACACAGUCCGGGAAUGACGGUACCUGAAGAAUAAGCACCGGCUAACUACGUGCCAGCAGCCGCCGUAG